rnacentral:rRNA from 1 species
CCUACGGGGGGCUGCAGUGAGGAAUAUUGGUCAAUGGCCGAGAGGCUGAACCAGCCAAGUCGCGUGAGGGAAGACGGCCCUACGGGUUGUAAACCUCUUUUGUCGGGGAGCAAAGCGAGUCACGUGUGACUCAUUGAGAGUACCCGAAGAAAAAGCAUCGGCUAACUCCGUGCCAGCAGCCGCGGUAAUACGGAGGGUCCGGGUGUUAUCCGGAGUUAUUGGGGUUAAAGGGAGCGUAGGCCGCAUGUCAAGCGUGCUGUGAAAUGUCCGGGCUCAACCCGGGCCUUGCAGCGCGAACUGGCGUGCUGGAGUCCGCGGAGAGCAGGCGGAAUUCGUGGUGUAGCGGUGAAAUGCUUAGAUAUGACGAAGAACCCCGAUUGCGAAGGCAGCUUGCUGCAGCGGAACUGACGCUGAUGCUCGAAAGCGCGGGUAUCGAACAGGAUUAGAUACCCCAGUAGUC